rnacentral:rRNA from 1 species
AACGAACGUUAGCGGCGCGCCUAACACAUGCAAGUCGCACGAGAAAGGGCUUCGGCCCCGGUACAGUGGCGCACGGGUGAGUAACACGUGGGUAAUCUGCCUUCGAGCGGGGGAUAACAUUCCGAAAGGAGUGCUAAUACCGCAUAAGACCACGCCCUCGAAAGAGGAAGCGGUCAAAGCUGGCCUCUAUACAUAAGCUAGCACUCGAAAAUGAGCCCGCGGAGCAUCAGCUAGUUGGUGAGGUAAUGGCUCACCAAGGCUUAGACGCUUAGCUGGUCUGAGAGGAUGAUCAGCCACACUGGAACUGAGACACGGUCCAGACUCCUACGGGUGGCAG